UGACAUUCAUGGUUGUUGUUCUCAUUGAAACUACCUACACUCUAAAAAAUGCAUGUCAUGUUAACAGCACCGAGAAGUCGCCAUUUUCUCAGCGUCUUUGGAUGGAAUUGAGUGAAAGAUGGCUUAUGGUAAGUAAAGAUAAAAAAUUAAAGAUAUUCUCACUUAUUUCUGUUCAAGCGUAUUUUGAGAUGGAUUUGAAGACGAAAAAAGUCAGAGAAGAACUUAGAUGGAAAUUUUCGCGGUUGCCUCAAUUCGUCGGUUCGUCUCAUGUCUUAACGGCCUCUUUAAUUGAAUCGAAGAAACAUUUUUAAUAUAGUGGGUUUCUUAUCAUAUUUAACGUUACAAGUUUCUUGGUGUCUGUUAAGGUUAUCAACAGAUUCACAUUUUAAUUCAUUAUUUUUUUAUCUUCGCGAUUAACCCGAAAGUAAUGACCUAGUUUUCCUUAAGGAAAUGAAACUGCGAUAUGAAAUAAAGGUUGAUUUGUUUUGUUGGUGUUGAAGCGAUAAUUGUUAAUUAAUGUUUUGCAUAUAAUAUUUCAGGCAUGUUGUGCUUUGUGUGUUUAUUUGGCCUGCGCCGGGAGUAAUGUUAAACGACAGGCGACUGCUGUGCGAGGAUGCGCGAUCUUCUCUGCUUCUUCAGAAGAAGAGAGGGAAAGACGAUUUAUGAACUCAAACCAACUGUGGAGAGGAGCCCUUCUCCUUGGUCUUCCUUUCUUAAAGGAAUAGUUCACACAAAAAUAAAAAUUGUCACCAUUUACCCAACCUCAUAUCUUUCCAAACCCAUAAGACUUUUGUCCAUCAAUGGAACACAAAUGAAGAUAUUUAAUAAUCUCAUCCUUUUUAUUUAUUUAUUUUUCUCCAUUUACAGUCUAGAUAAUCAGUAUUUUUACCUUCACAAAUACAAAGUUAUUGUAGUAAUCCAUACCAAUAUUUAUAUAUGAAUAAAAUCCUAAAUUAUAUCUGUUCAUAUCAUAUAAAGCAAUCAUGUCUGUUCAGAAAAUUCAAAACUGUUGGACUCCCUGACUUGCAAUGGAUGGACAAAAAAUUGAGAGAAUAUUAAAAAUAUCUUCAUUUGUGUUUCAAAGAUUAGCAAAAGUCUUAUGGUUUUGGAACGACAUGAGGGAGAGUAAAUUAUGACAGUUUUCUUUUUUGGGUGAACUAAUACUUUAAAGAGCAGCCCUCCAAGUUCAUCAAAAUGUGUGAG